rnacentral:rRNA from 1 species
CCUACGGGUGGCAGCAGUGAGGAAUAUUGGUCAAUGGACGAGAGUCUGAACCAGCCAAGUAGCGUGAAGGAUGACUGCCCUAUGGGUUGAAAAUUUCUUUUAUAAAGGAAUAAAACGAGGCACGUGUGCCUUUUUGCUUGUACUUUAUGAAUAAGGAUCGGCUAACUCCGUGCCAGCAGCCGCGGUAAUACGGAGGAUCCGAGCGUUUUCAGGAUUGAUUGGGUUUAAAGGGAGAGUAGAUGGGUUGAUAAGUCAGUUGUGAAUGUUUGCGGCUCAACCGUAAAAUUGCAAUUGAUACUGGCAGUCUUGAGUACAGUUGAGGUAGGCGGAAUUCGUGGUGUAGCGGUGAAAUGCUUAGAUAUCACGAAGAACCCCGAUUGCGAAGGCAGCUUACUAAACUGUGACUGACAUUGAUGCUCGAAAGUGGGGGUAUCAAACAGGAUUAGAUACCCGAGUAGUC